UACGGGGGGGGGCAAGCGUUGUUCGGAAUUACUGGGCGUAAAGGGCGCGUAGGUGGUUCUGUAUGUCUACCGUGAAAGCGUACGGCUCAACCGUAUUUUGUCGGUGGAAACUGCAGGACUUGAGGCUGGGAGGGGCUGGUGGAAUUCCCUGUGUAGCGGUGAAAUGCGCAGAUAUCAGGAGGAACACCAAUGGCGAAGGCAGCUCGCUGGAACGGUACUGACGCUGAGGCGCGAAAGCGUGGGGAGCAAACAGG
rnacentral:rRNA from 1 species